rnacentral:tRNA from 1 species
GCUUCUAUAGUAAAAUUAUUAUAUUUGCUUUCCAAGCAAAAGUUUUGGUGAGUACCAAUAGCAGUA